GUACCCUUAGCCACGGCCCUGGAGAAAGGUGUCGGAUGGGCACGUGUGCUGCUGAAGCGGGAAGCGCUGGGGAGCAGGGCUGGGUGAGCACAUGACGGGUGCGGCAGACACCUGAGAAGCCGAGCCCUGCAAGGGGCUGUCGUGGAAGCCGGCGGACCCUCCGCCGACCUCAGGCACAGGCAUGACGGUGACACAGCUGCUGUGUUUGGCCAGCGUUGGGCGACGGUGUUGUGAAGGUCAUCGCAGCAACGGGCAACCAGCCAACUCAAGAGGCCAACCCACCGCUUCCACUCACGUGCGUCUUGCUUCCGAGGCCCACAGUGCACCCUGUUGUUUGUUUCGCAGACAAACGUGGCGUUGUAGAAAAGGAGCGUGAGCCAUCAUGGGAACACCAACCCAAUAUUCUUAUCCAUUGAAUGGGAGUUACAGAAGAAUUGAAAUGCGAUUUUAAAAAUGACUCCUAAUUGGCUGAAUCCCUCGGCCAUGAGUAGGAGUCUACCAGAUGGCACUUUUCUGUCAGCGGAACAGUGAACAGCAUCCAGGGCGGCAAGAGGGUGACAAUCUCAGGGGACAAGUCACAGAAUGAAGCCAAUAGGAGGAGUUCAGAGGAAAACAACUCAAGUGGCAGAAGAUACGCAGAGAUGUUUCUCCAAAGAACACCUACAAAUGUCAAUAGGCUCAUGGAAGCAUGCUCAACAUCACUCAUCAUCAGAGAAAUAUAAAUCAAAACCAGAAUGAGCUAUGACCUCACACCUUCAAAAUGGCUCAAAUCAAAAACACAAAAAGCAAAGUGUUGGGGACGAUGUGAAUAAAUGAGAACCCUCAUGUAGUAGAAACGCAAACUGGUGUGGUCACUGUGGAAGACAGUUGGGUGGUUCCUCAAACUAAAAAUAGAGCAGCCCUCGGUAGCGGUAAUGGCGCUACUGUGUAUCUUUCUUUCCAAAGAAUGUAAAACCAGCUCAUUCAAGUGGGUACGUGCAGCCCUGCUUCCUGCGGUGUUGUUGAAUGAUCAUUUAGAGCAACUGUUCAGUGACUGCGGUCACUCUCUAGUUUCAGUACUUGGAACAUGCACUCGCGCGCUGGGGACCGACUUGAGGUCACAGUAACGUCUCCGUCCUCCUUCCGGCUUGGAACCCAUGCUGAGGACAGAGGACAUGAGCCACAUCUCCUGCUCCGAGAGCUCCGUUCCCGGCCGCCCGGACUUCUGGUCUCCCCGGGGUGCAGCAGCAGCACGACAAGCACCAUGGCACCGACACCCAGGCUCACCUGGGCCUGCCUCCCACCUGCUGACCACCUCCAGGAGGUUCCUGGGAGUCAGGGCUCCUGUGGCCACACUGACUGCCCCCCACGGCCCACCCACUCCAUCUGCUGCAGGUGGCAUGGUCACAUCCCCACUGUGAGAAGCCCUCGGGCGUUUCCUCUGGCCUGGCAAUGUACAGGGUGUUCCACAAGAGGCACCUGUCCCCCGGACAGCCCAACGUGCACGGGGCACCUCGCUCAGCUGCAAGGCGACACGGCACAGAGAGCAGCCUGCACCAGAAGAGGCCCCCUUGGGCUAGAGGACACGUAGUCAGCGGUGCCCGGAGGCCACCUGCGAUCACACCUGAGACGGCCCGGAGAGGGGACACACGGCUUACCGAGCACCUGCGUCCCUGCGGCCCUGCACAUCCUCCUGGUGCCCCAAGCCGACUGAGGCAGGAACAGGCUCAUUUGUGUCGAUGUGGAUUUAACACACACACACACACACACACACCUGAGGAUAUGUCCAGGUUAGGAUGUCUAUUCAAUGAAUGUUAUCAGUAGUUGCCACCAGGAAGUAGAAUUACAAUGACUGUAGCUUUCCUUGUGUCUUUUUGUUUACCUAUGUUUCCUCAUUUUUCCAUAAUAUACAUAUUUUUUUAAUUCUCUUGUUAAGCUUAAGAUACAGGUAUUUCCUGGUGAUGGGGGGGAAAGUCCCUAAAGACGGCAUAUAAAUUUGUGCUCAAGGAACAAUGGUGGAGAAAAUGAAUUAAUGGAAACACCUCUCCCAGCUUGCCCCCCAGACUACUGAGGAUUUACCGUCUGGUUGGAGCUACACAUAUGUUAAGUGUUCACAGCUCUACCUCUGCCUCUAAUUCAGAGGCAGACUGGCAACUAGAUGGAUGUUUAACAAGGAAGUAUGUGCAAAACCCCACCUGGAUUUCAAGACAGUAUAAUUUCAUUUCCUUUCUAUUUUCUGC